CACUUGGCAAAAGUAAAAAAAAGAUAUAGAAGUUCAUGUCAUCAAGAAAAAAAAUGCACCAUAUAACCUUUUAUGCUUUGUAGAUUUGCACUUUGAAAUCACCAUGCAAGAGCCAGAACACAUAACACCUCAAAAAGGGUAAUGCAUGGAUAUGAAUCACGCUUCAUUUUCCUAUUCAAAUUAAAAGCAAGGAAAACAAGUUGUCAAAUUAAAAUCAAAAUAAUGCGUGACAACACAGCCACGCUUCCCCCCAAGAAUCUAGGCAAAAAAUAGUCCAAAAAAAUUUCCCAUUUUUAGUCUCCCUAAUUUCUCCAAGGAAUAUAUGCACUCCACCCCCUCAAUGUCCUCCCAUUUCCACUCCCUUCCCCACCC
rnacentral:lncRNA from 1 species